rnacentral:lncRNA from 1 species
UGGCCUGCGGCUUUGACGUUAGAAGCUUCAGAGUUAGACUGACCAUUUUUUCAAAUGUCAAAUCUCAAAAUCAGAUGUCUUCAUUUUCUAAUAGGAUGUUGUUGACCCAAAAUUAAGUUUAAAUCCAUUCAAUUGGGUUUUGUUCUUAUGGAAUUAUUAAGUGAGAUGAAGUGAUAGUGCAGAGAGAAACGGUGAAUGACUCCUAAUUCUUGGGCUGAAUAGAGUGUUGUUGUACCUAUGGG